rnacentral:tRNA from 1 species
AGGGAAUUAGUUUAAUGGUAAAACUCCGGUCUCCAAAACCGUAGAUAAGUGUUCGAUUCACUUAUUCCCUGCCA